AAUCCCCAUGAUGAGGACACUUAUGAAGUAAUUCCUUGAAUCUUUUCCAUGCCUCAUACAAAGAUUCGUCAUCCAAUUUUUGGAAAGUUGUUAUCUUAUUACGCAACU
rfam:Gossypium hirsutum cultivar TM-1 chromosome 15, whole genome shotgun sequence